CCUGCUGGCCACUGCUGGGGCACAGCACGGUGCCAGGACAGGUAGGGACUAGCCUGCCUUAGACCCACCGCACUGCCGACCGGACUUUUAACGGCCCGGUCGGUGGUGCUGACCAAAGCCGCCAGGGUCCUUCUUCGACCAGGCGUUGCAGUCGGAAACCGGAUGCCUGGCAACCGUAAGCUCUCCAGGGCAUGGAACUAAUUCAACCUGACAGCCAAAGGGUGAAGGGCUACAAACAUGGGGCUGGCUCAGCAGGGCAAAAUCUCAGGCACAGGAGCAAUAAUGGAAGCGCCUCUUCUGUGGUCCACGAAACUGACUGUUGAAAGAACGUGUAGUGGCAGAGUACAGGCAGCACAGGAGACUGCUAAGCUGGAGAACACAGCCUUUCGUCAACACUCCUAUUCUUCAUCUAGUGUUGUCCACUGGCGAGAGCUGGGAAAGGGCAACACAUAACUCUUGACUGCACCGCUUGGCUCUGUGACUUUGGCACUGUUGCCUUCAGGAGGUCCAUGAACAUCCUGUCUGGGGCAGACGCUGAGUGCCAAAGGGGUCAGUCGCACGGCCAGAGUUGGGCGUCCUGCCCAGCAGCCUGCUGCAGACAGUUCCGAAGUGAUGUUUUUCU